rnacentral:tRNA from 3 species
GAACCCUUGGCGCAGUGGUAGCGCGUAUGAUUCCAGUUCACUGGAACUUCCAUAAGGUCGUCCGUUCGAUCCGGGCAGGGUUCA